AACAGACUCCUCAAAAGAUGGCUGCUUCCUCUUUUGGAUAAAAUCUGAAGUUAAAUCAAUGAUCUCUCCUUUCACCGGAGGUAAAGCUGGCAUCAAGAUCCUAUCUUUAGGUACCAUAAUUCCAGUUAGGAGAUUGAUAUCGUGGGGUUUACAUUCAACUUCAUUGUUUCUCUCAUCAUCCACGCUUUCCACAUCAUAAUCACUAGUAUCGCUGAUGAAAUAGGAGCCAUUACAAACAGCUAAAGAGCCUUGCUGGUAGCUAUCAGGAUACAGCUUACGAGCCAACGCCUCCUCUUGAUUGAUAAUAGCAAGCCAAGUAGCACUCUCCUUAGCUGUCAUCUUAUCCUGCAAACACUUUGACUGCCGAACAAGCUUGCGAAUCUUAGCAAUGUCAGGGGAUAUGUGUUUGAUAACUGCCGUUAGAACGCCAACUUUCCACGCCUUCUUAAGAUCGUGAGGCUUCUUGUACGGAGGUGGCACUUGAUCAUUUGGCAGACCAAGCUGACCCCACCACUCCUCUUUACCAGAAGGCCACCAGGGUGGAGCUACCCCUUUCUCCAAGGGAAACCGCCUCUGCGGAGGAUCACAGUGCUGCAUCAAC
rnacentral:lncRNA from 1 species